CCUACGGGAGGCAGCAGUGAGGAAUAUUGGUCAAUGGACGAGAGUCUGAACCAGCCAAGUAGCGUGAAGGAUGACUGCCCUAUGGGUUGUAAACUUCUUUUAUAUGGGAAUAAAAUGUUCCACGUGUGGGAUUUUGUAUGUACCAUAUGAAUAAGGAUCGGCUAACUCCGUGCCAGCAGCCGCGGUAAUACGGAGGAUCCGAGCGUUAUCCGGAUUUAUUGGGUUUAAAGGGAGCGUAGGUGGAUUGGUAAGUCAGUUGUGAAAGUUUGCGGCUCAACCGUAAAAUUGCAGUUGAAACUGGCAGUCUUGAGUACACGAGAGGUGGGCGGAAUUCGUGGUGUAGCGGUGAAAUGCUUAGAUAUCACGAAGAACUCCGAUUGCGAAGGCAGUUCACUGGACUGCAACUGACACUGAGGCUCGAAAGUGUGGGUAUCAAACAGGAUUAGAUACCCGGGUAGUC
rnacentral:rRNA from 1 species